AGACGCACUGAAUAGGCGAUAAGAAGGCGUUGUCGGAAGUCGCCGCGUGUUCACACGUCACUUCGAAUGUCACGGUUUCGCGUUAAUUAAGGAAUCUUGAAACAAUUAGAAAAAGGAACGGCAACAAACACGAGACGGUUACGCAACGGAUGAAUCAUGGCCCAAGAUUUCAACAAUCCAUCCAUUCUUUGCUAAAUAGAGACCCAUUUACAUGUGUACACAAGUAUCCCCUUCGUUACGUGAGAAAUCAUCGAUCUAGCUCGCAAUUGCGUAAAACGAGAAGAAACGAAUUCCCUAUUUUCUGCUGCGUAAGCGUAACAUUUGAAAAAUGAAAAAAAAUUCCACUCGCUCGGCAGUUUCCAGUGUCCGGUAAUUCCCGAUUCUGCGUUUCACUGGCUUCCACACAUUUUUUAUCCAUCCGCGUACUGCAUUAAUAAAAGAUAGCGCGAUAGAUAGACAAUCGACGGAUAAACUGUAAUCGAUGAACACUAAUGUAUUCCAUGGCUGAGGGCUGUAUGCAGUCGACACCACAUACAACACUGUCGAGUUUACAUGUGAAGUGACAUAACGGGCCCAAAUUUUCUUUUGAGAAUGCAGUAUGGAGUAAUCAGAAAAUUAAAUGCAGAUCAGUUGUUUACGUAUGAGAACGAUACCCUCGGCCACGAAAUCCCACUACAGAAAAGCCAACCAAAAAAUAGUAUCGAUAGCAAGGGAUUCAUCGUUCCGGUAAAGCCGAGCAGCGUCAACCGGUCGGUGGUGUCUACGGAUUUCAGAAAAGCCGGUGAUCAGGGGAGGUCGGAAUUCCUACGAACGGUGGCGGCGCCGGAUGCGCGCGCUCUUCGAACGUUAACGGUGUUAACCUUGAUCCUGCGAGCGACCGAGUACCGACGAUGCAAGACGAUUAUAAACCUCGAUAGGCGGAUAAUGAUGCAGAAACGCGUCCGACGUAAAUGGAUUUGGCAUGUGCGAUGGGAGUGGCGAAUGGUCUCGCCGGCGAAAAAGGAGACGGGUGAAAGAAAAAGAGGAGAAAACGCCGAGUGGCGAAAGGAAGGAGUACUCGGCGACGCCGGGGGCCGAGGGGAGGCAGCGGGAAAAGAAGAGAAGGAAGGACUAACCGAAGAAACCGAACGGGAAACAGAGAAGGCUAGAGGGGAAAGAACAGGACUAUCGCGAAGAAGAAGAAGAAGAAGAUGACAAGGAGUAGGACGAUGUAAGUGGUGGCAACGACGACGGUCCUGUUGACGGUAAUGGUUGGCGUCGGUCGCCCGGUGGAGGUGGCGAACAUCGUCCGAAAACCCAGA